GAGGGUAUAGUUCAGUGGUAGAGUGUAUGCUUAACAUGCACGAGAUUCUGGGUUCAAUCCCCAAUACCUCCA
rnacentral:tRNA from 1 species